rnacentral:miRNA from 1 species
UUUUACCUCAUCGACCAGAAGGAAUCCCUUCCGGCCGAUGAGGUGUAACACCCUCAUCGGCCGGAAGGGAUUCCUUCCGGUCGAUGAGGUAAAA